rnacentral:rRNA from 1 species
UUAAGCGACUAAGCGUACACGGUGGAUGCCCUGGCAGUCAGAGGCGAUGAAGGACGUGCUAAUCUGCGAAAAGCGUCGGUAAGGUGAUAUGAACCGUUAUAACCGGCGAUGUCCGAAUGGGGAAACCCAGUGUGAUUCGUCACACUAUCGUUAACUGAAUACAUAGGUUAACGAGGCGAACCGGGGGAACUGAAACAUCUAAGUACCCCGAGGAAAAGAAAUCAACCGAGAUUCCCCCAGUAGCGGCGAGCGAACGGGGAGCAGCCCAGAGUCUGAAUCAGCUUGUGUGUUAGUGGAACGGUCUGGAAAGUCCGACGGUACAGGGUGAUAGUCCCGUACACCAAAAUGCACAGGUUGUGAACUCGAAGAGUAGGGCGGGACACGUGGUAUCCUGUCUGAAUAUGGGGGGACCAUCCUCCAAGGCUAAAUACUCCUGACUGACCGAUAGUGAACCAGUACCGUGAGGGAAAGGCGAAAAGAACCCCGGCGAGGGGAGUGAAAAAGAACCUGAAACCGUGUACGUACAAGCAGUGGGAGCACCUUCGGGUGUGACUGCGUACCUUUUGUAUAAUGGGUCAGCGACUUAUAUUCUGUAGCAAGGUUAACCGUAUAGGGGAGCCGCAGGGAAACCGAGUCUUAACUGGGCGUUAAGUUGCAGGGUAUAGACCCGAAACCCGGUGAUCUAGCCAUGGGCAGGUUGAAGGUUGGGUAACACUAACUGGAGGACCGAACCGACUAAUGUUGAAAAAUUAGCGGAUGACUUGUGGCUGGGGGUGAAAGGCCAAUCAAACCGGGAGAUAGCUGGUUCUCCCCGAAAGCUAUUUAGGUAGCGCCUCGUGAAUUCAUCUUCGGGGGUAGAGCACUGUUUCGGCUAGGGGGUCAUCCCGACUUACCAACCCGAUGCAAACUACGAAUACCGAAGAAUGUUAUCACGGGAGACACACGGCGGGUGCUAACGUCCGUCGUGAAGAGGGAAACAACCCAGACCGCCAGCUAAGGUCCCAAAGUCAUGGUUAAGUGGGAAACGAUGUGGGAAGGCACAGACAGCCAGGAUGUUGGCUUAGAAGCAGCCAUCAUUUAAAGAAAGCGUAAUAGCUCACUGGUCGAGUCGGCCUGCGCGGAAGAUGUAACGGGGCUAAACCAUGCACCGAAGCUGCGGCAGCGACACUAUGUGUUGUUGGGUAGGGGAGCGUUCUGUAAGCCUGCGAAGGUGGCCUGUGAGGGUUGCUGGAGGUAUCAGAAGUGCGAAUGCUGACAUAAGUAACGAUAAAGCGGGUGAAAAGCCCGCUCGCCGGAAGACCAAGGGUUCCUGUCCAACGUUAAUCGGGGCAGGGUGAGUCGACCCCUAAGGCGAGGCCGAAAGGCGUAGUCGAUGGGAAACAGGUUAAUAUUCCUGUACUUGGUGUUACUGCGAAGGGGGGACGGAGAAGGCUAUGUUAGCCGGGCGACGGUUGUCCCGGUUUAAGCAUGUAGGCUGGUUAUCCAGGCAAAUCCGGAUAAUCAAGGCUGAGGUGUGAUGACGAGGCACUACGGUGCUGAAGUAACAAAUGCCCUGCUUCCAGGAAAAGCCUCUAAGCAUCAGGUAACAUUAAAUCGUACCCCAAACCGACACAGGUGGUCAGGUAGAGAAUACCAAGGCGCUUGAGAGAACUCGGGUGAAGGAACUAGGCAAAAUGGUGCCGUAACUUCGGGAGAAGGCACGCUGGUGUGUAGGUGAAGUCCCUGCGGAUGGAGCUGAGAUCAGUCGAAGAUACCAGCUGGCUGCAACUGUUUAUUAAAAACACAGCACUGUGCAAACACGAAAGUGGACGUAUACGGUGUGACGCCUGCCCGGUGCCGGAAGGUUAAUUGAUGGGGUUAUCCGUAAGGAGAAGCUCUUGAUCGAAGCCCCGGUAAACGGCGGCCGUAACUAUAACGGUCCUAAGGUAGCGAAAUUCCUUGUCGGGUAAGUUCCGACCUGCACGAAUGGCGUAAUGAUGGCCAGGCUGUCUCCACCCGAGACUCAGUGAAAUUGAACUCGCUGUGAAGAUGCAGUGUACCCGCGGCAAGACGGAAAGACCCCGUGAACCUUUACUAUAGCUUGACACUGAACAUUGAGCCUUGAUGUGUAGGAUAGGUGGGAGGCUUUGAAGCGUGGACGCCAGUCUGCGUGGAGCCAACCUUGAAAUACCACCCUUUAAUGUUUGAUGUUCUAACGUUGGCCCCUGACCGGGGUUGCGGACAGUGUCUGGUGGGUAGUUUGACUGGGGCGGUCUCCUCCCAAAGCGUAACGGAGGAGCACGAAGGUUAGCUAAUCCUGGUCGGACAUCAGGAGGUUAGUGCAAUGGCAUAAGCUAGCUUGACUGCGAGCGUGACGGCGCGAGCAGGUGCGAAAGCAGGUCAUAGUGAUCCGGUGGUUCUGAAUGGAAGGGCCAUCGCUCAACGGAUAAAAGGUACUCCGGGGAUAACAGGCUGAUACCGCCCAAGAGUUCAUAUCGACGGCGGUGUUUGGCACCUCGAUGUCGGCUCAUCACAUCCUGGGGCUGAAGUAGGUCCCAAGGGUAUGGCUGUUCGCCAUUUAAAGUGGUACGCGAGCUGGGUUUAGAACGUCGUGAGACAGUUCGGUCCCUAUCUGCCGUGGGCGCUGGAGAAUUGAGGGGGGCUGCUCCUAGUACGAGAGGACCGGAGUGGACGCAUCACUGGUGUUCGGGUUGUCAUGCCAAUGGCACUGCCCGGUAGCUAAAUGCGGAAGAGAUAAGUGCUGAAAGCAUCUAAGCACGAAACUUGCCCCGAGAUGAGUUCUCCCUGAGACUUUAAGUCUCCUGAAGGAACGUUGAAGACGACGACGUUGAUAGGCCGGGUGUGUAAGCGCAGCGAUGCGUUGAGCUAACCGGUACUAAUGAACCGUGAGGCUUAACCUU